GACGAACGCUGGCGGCGUGCUUAACACAUGCAAGUCGAACGAGAAUCUACUGAAAGAGUUUUCGGACAAUGGAUGUAGAGGAAAGUGGCGGACGGGUGAGUAACGCGUGAGGAACCUGCCUUGAAGAGGGGGACAACAGUUGGAAACGACUGCUAAUACCGCAUGAUGCAUAGGGGUCGCAUGAUCUUUAUGCCAAAGAUUUAUCGCUUCAAGAUGGCCUCGCGUCUGAUUAGCUGGUUGGCGGGGUAACGGCCCACCAAGGCGACGAUCAGUAGCCGGACUGAGAGGUUGAACGGCCACAUUGGGACUGAGAUACGGCCCAGACUCCUACGGGAGGCAGCAGUGGGGAAUAUUGGGCAAUGGGCGCAAGCCUGACCCAGCAACGCCGCGUGAAGGAAGAAGGCUUUCGGGUUGUAAACUUCUUUUAAGAGGGAAGAGCAGAAGACGGUACCUCUAGAAUAAGCCACGGCUAACUACGUGCCAGCAGCCGCGGUAAUACGUAGGUGGCAAGCGUUGUCCGGAUUUACUGGGUGUAAAGGGCGUGCAGCCGGGUCUGCAAGUCAGAUGUGAAAUCCAUGGGCUCAACCCAUGAACUGCAUUUGAAACUGUAGAUCUUGAGUGUCGGAGGGGCAAUCGGAAUUCCUAGUGUAGCGGUGAAAUGCGUAGAUAUUAGGAGGAACACCAGUGGCGAAGGCGGAUUGCUGGACGAUAACUGACGGUGAGGCGCGAAAGUGUGGGGAGCAAACAGGAUUAGAUACCCUGGUAGUCCACACUGUAAACGAUGAAUACUGGGUGUGCGGGGACUGACCCCCUGCGUGCCGCAGUAAACACAAUAAGUAUUCCACCUGGGGAGUACGAUCGCAAGGUUGAAACUCAAAGGAAUUGACGGGGGCCCGCACAAGCGGAGGAACAUGUGGUUUAAUUCGAUGAUACGCGAGGAACCUUACCCGGGCUUGAAUUGCAACUGAAUGAUGUGGAGACAUGUCAGCCGCAAGGCAGUUGUGAAGGUGCUGCAUGGUUGUCGUCAGCUCGUGCCGUGAGGUGUCGGCUUAAGUGCCAUAACGAGCGCAACCCUUAUCGAUAGUUACCAUCAGGUUAUGCUGGGGACUCUGUCGAGACUGCCGUCGUAAGAUGUGAGGAAGGUGGGGAUGACGUCAAAUCAGCACGGCCCUUACGUCCGGGGCUACACACGUGUUACAAUGGGGGGUACAGAAGGCAGCUACACGGCGACGUGAUGCUAAUCCCGAAAGCCUCUCUCAGUUCGGAUUGGAGUCUGCAACCCGACUCCAUGAAGCUGGAUUCGCUAGUAAUCGCGCAUCAGCCACGGCGCGGUGAAUACGUUCCCGGGCCU
rnacentral:rRNA from 1 species